CCUACGGGUGGCAGCAGUGAGGAAUAUUGGUCAAUGGGCGAGAGCCUGAACCAGCCAAGCCGCGUGAGGGAAGACGGUCCAGCGUGUCGUAAACCUCUUUUGUCAGGGAACAAAGGCGGGGACGAGUCCCCGGCUGAGGGUACCUGAAGAAAAAGCAUCGGCUAACUCCGUGCCAGCAGCCGCGGUAAUACGGAGGAUGCGAGCGUUAUCCGGAUUUAUUGGGUUUAAAGGGUGCGCAGGCGGCCUGUUAAGUCAGCGGUAAAAGUGCGGGGCUCAACCCCGUCGAGCCGUUGAAACUGGCGGGCUGGAGUUGGAGAGAAGUACGCGGAAUGCGCGGUGUAGCGGUGAAAUGCUUAGAUAUCGCGCAGAACCCCGAUUGCGAAGGCAGCGUACCGGCUCCACACUGACGCUGAGGCACGAAAGCGUGGGGAUCGAACAGGAUUAGAUACCCGGGUAGUC
rnacentral:rRNA from 1 species